rnacentral:rRNA from 1 species
UGGGGAAUUUUGGACAAUGGGCGAAAGCCUGAUCCAGCAAUGCCGCGUGUGUGAAGAAGGCCUUCGGGUUGUAAAGCACUUUUGUCCGGAAAGAAAUCCUUGGCUCUAAUACAGUCGGGGGAUGACGGUACCGGAAGAAUAAGCACCGGCUAACUACGUGGCCAGCAGCCGCGGUAAUACGUAGGGUGCAAGCGUUAAUCGGAAUUACUGGGCGUAAAGCGUGCGCAGGCGGUUUGCUAAGACCGAUGUGAAAUCCCCGGGCUCAACCUGGGAACUGCAUUGGUGACUGGCAGGCUAGAGUAUGGCAGAGGGGGGUAGAAUUCCACGUGUAGCAGUGAAAUGCGUAGAGAUGUGGAGGAAUACCGAUGGCGAAGGCAGCCCCCUGGGCCAAUACUGACGCUCAUGCACGAAAGCGUGGGGAGCAAACAGGAUUAGAUACCCUGGUAGUCCACGCCCUAAACGAUGUCAACUAGUUGUUGGGGAUUCAUUUCCUUAGUAACGUAGCUAACGCGUGAAGUUGACCGCCUGGGGAGUACGGUCGAAGAUUAAAACUCAAAUGAAUUGACGGGGUCAUAGCUG